rnacentral:rRNA from 1 species
AACGAACGCUGGCGGCAGGCUUAACACAUGCAAGUCGAGCGCCCCGCAAGGGGAGCGGCAGACGGGUGAGUAACGCGUGGGAACGUACCCUUUGCUACGGAAUAGCUCCGGGAAACUGGAAUUAAUACCGUAUGUGCCCUACGGGGGAAAGAUUUAUCGGCAAAGGAUCGGCCCGCGUUGGAUUAGCUAGUUGGUGGGGUAAUGGCCUACCAAGGCGACGAUCCAUAGCUGGUCUGAGAGGAUGAUCGGCCACAUUGGGACUGAGACACGGCCCAAACUCCUACGGGAGGCAGCAGUGGGGAAUAUUGGACAAUGGGCACAAGCUUGAUCCAGCCAUGCCGCGUGAGUGAUGAAGGCCUUAGGGUUGUAAAGCUCUUUCACCGGAGAAGCUAAUGACGGUAUCCGGAGAAGAAGCCCCGGCUAACUUCGUGCCAGCCGCCGCCGUAAUAC